AGAGUUUGAUCAUGGCUCAGAUUGAACGCUGGCGGCAGGCCUAACACAUGCAAGUCGAGCGGUAACGAAGAGGAGCUUGCUCCUCUGGCGUCGAGCGGCGGACGGGUGAGUAAUGCUUGGGAAUAUGCCUUAUGGUGGGGGACAACAGUUGGAAACGACUGCUAAUACCGCAUGAUGUCUACGGACCAAAGUGGGGGACCUUCGGGCCUCACGCCAUAAGAUUAGCCCAAGUGGGAUUAGCUAGUUGGUGAGGUAAUGGCUCACCAAGGCGACGAUCCCUAGCUGGUUUGAGAGGAUGAUCAGCCACACUGGGACUGAGACACGGCCCAGACUCCUACGGGAGGCAGCAGUGGGGAAUAUUGCACAAUGGGCGCAAGCCUGAUGCAGCCAUGCCGCGUGUGUGAAGAAGGCCUUCGGGUUGUAAAGCACUUUCAGUAAGGAGGAAAGGUUAAGUGUUAAUA
rnacentral:rRNA from 1 species